CGCGUAGGCGGCUGAUUUAGUCGAGGGUGAAAGCCCGUGGCUCAACCACGGAAUGGCCUUCGAUACUGGUUGGCUUGAGACCGGAAGAGGACAGCGGAACUGCGAGUGUAGAGGUGAAAUUCGUAGAUAUUCGCAAGAACACCAGUGGCGAAGGCGGCUGUCUGGUCCGGUUCUGACGCUGAGGCGCGAAAGCGUGGGGAGCAAACAGGAUUAGAUACCCCAGUA
rnacentral:rRNA from 1 species